GAGAGAGAGAGAGAGAGAGAGAGAGAGAGAGAGAGAGAAUGGGCAUACAUCAGCGUCUUGGUUAACAAAAGCAAGGUGGUCCAGUGUGCUAGAACAGGAGGUGCGGAUUGGACAAGGCAGCGUGGAACUAAGCCACUGGAAGGAGAAGCUCUGGAAUGUGGGUUGAGCUGGUCCAAUCCCUGGGAGAGAGGCAAGACAGAGAAACAGUGCUCUGUUGUUCAUCGUCGGACUCCUUUCUGGGACUUGGCUUGGAACAACGCUGCCUCGCUGUCACUUCCUAUCAGACCGAUUGGCUCUUGACUUCUCAGAGAUGCCUGAAUUCUGGGAGAGGAGCAGAGCCCUGCCUCAAGGGUGAGAACUACUGCUUUUAAGAAGCCCUCAGAACUCUCCUGGACCAGAAACACAGAAGCCAAUCAGUGGAUGAGGAGAGUACUCUGGGGGCUCUGUUGCUACCUCUGCCUCAUCUACUGGAGAAGUGAAAGUCACAGGAAUGAAUGCUGGAACUUCAGCCUUGGCAAGGGUGAUGGAACCAUCGGAUCCGAUUGAAGGAUACUGUUUGCAAGUGGAAGACUUUUACUUCUUCAGUCCUAAUAAGUGACAGUUUAACCACACCAGAUGCUUUGCAUGACUUGUGCUUCCUAAAUUGGCUAAUUCUAUAAAAGCAAACAAUAAAUGCAUGAUAAUACAAGCAAAACAACAGCAUAUCAGACACUUAUUCCAAAUGGCCCCCCUAAUGAGAAGGGUAGCUCUCUUUCAAGCAAUGACAGAGGCCCAGCAUCCUUCCAACUUGUGGCUCCUUUAUCUUCACCCUACAGGUUCCUAUUUGCUGUGGUUUGUUU
rnacentral:sRNA from 1 species